UACAGAGGGUGCAAGCGUUAAUCGGAAUUACUGGGCGUAAAGCGCACGUAGGUGGCUGGGUAAGUUGGAUGUGAAAUCCCCGGGCUUAACUUGGGAAUUGCAUUCAAGACUGCCUUGCUAGAGUGUGGAAGAGGGAAGCGGAAUUCCAGGUGUAGCGGUGAAAUGCGUAGAUAUCUGGAGGAACACCAAUGGCGAAGGCAGCUCGCUGGGACGUGACUGACGCUGAGACGCGAAAGCGUGGGGAGCAAACAGG
rnacentral:rRNA from 1 species